ensembl:misc_RNA Metazoa_SRP Metazoan signal recognition particle RNA
GCUGGGCAUGGUGGCGCGUGCCUGUAGUCCCAGCUACUCAGGAGGUUGAGGCAGGAGAACUGCUUGAACCCAGGGGGUGGAGUUUGCAGCGAACUGAGAUCGGGCCACUGCACUCCAGCCUGGGUGACAAAGCGAGACUCUGCCUCUA